UUUCCGAAUGGGGGAACCCAACAUCUUUAAUAGGAUGUUACGAUUGUGUGAAUACAUAGCACAUUCGAGGUAGACGCAGAGAACUGAAACAUCUAAGUACCUGCAGGAAGAGAAAGAAAAUUCGAUUCCCUGAGUAGCGGCGAGCGAAACGGGAAAAGCCCAAACCAGCAAGCUUGCUUGUUGGGGUUGUAGGACUCCAAUAUGGUAGUUCUUUCAGAUAGUCGAAUGACUUGGAAAAGUCAGUCAAAGAGGGUAAAAACCCCGUAGACGAAAUGUGGAAGACACCUAGGAGGAUCCUGAGUACGGCGGAACACGAGAAAUUCCGUCGGAAUCCGGGAGGACCAUCUCCCAAGGCUAAAUACUCCCUAGUGACCGAUAGUGAACCAGUACCGUGAGGGAAAGGUGAAAAGCACCCCGGAAGGGGAGUGAAAUAGAACCUGAAACCGUGUGCCUACAACAAGUCAAAGCCCGUUAAUGGGUGAUGGCGUGCCUUUUGUAGAAUGAACCGGCGAGUUACGAUUGCAUGCGAGGUUAAGUUGAAGAGACGGAGCCGCAGCGAAAGCGAGUCUGAAUAGGGCGUUUGAGUAUGUAGUCGUAGACCCGAAACCAUGUGAUCUACCCAUGUCCAGGUUGAAGGUGCGGUAAAACGCACUGGAGGACCGAACCCACGUACGUUGAAAAGUGCGGGGAUGAGGUGUGGGUAGCGGAGAAAUUCCAAACGAACUUGGAGAUAGCUGGUUCUCUCCGAAAUAGCUUUAGGGCUAGCCUCGGAAUUGAGAAUGAUGGAGGUAGAGCACUGUUUGGACUAGGGGCCCAUCUCGGGUUACCGAAUUCAGAUAAACUCCGAAUGCCAUUCAUUCAUAUCCGGGAGUCAGACUGUGAGUGAUAAGAUCCAUAGUCGAAAGGGAAACAGCCCAGACCACCAGCUAAGGUCCCAAAAUAUAUGUUAAGUGGAAAAGGAUGUGGGGUUGCACAGACAACUAGG
rnacentral:rRNA from 1 species